UUAACUGAAGCUAAAAUUAAGAAGCACUUUACUGUUAAUAAAGAAAUUGAAAUUAAUAAUCCAGUUAAA
rnacentral:tRNA from 1 species